rnacentral:rRNA from 1 species
AGGGUUCGAUUCUGGCUCAGGAUGAACGCUGGCGGCGUGCCUAACACAUGCAAGUCGAGCGGGAAUUGUGGAAUGCGGCUUCGGCCAAGUGAAGCGAAGGAGAGCGGCGGACGGGUGAGUAACGCGUAGGUAACCUACCUCAUGCACAGGGAUAGCCCCGGGAAACUGGAAUUAAUACCUGAUAAAGCGGAGGGGUCACAUGGCUCCAUCGCCAAAGAUUUAUCGGCGUGAGAUGGACCUGCGUCUGAUUAGCUGGUUGGUGAGGUAACGGCCCACCAAGGCGACGAUCAGUAGCCGACCUGAGAGGGUAAUCGGCCACAUUGGAACUGAGACACGGUCCAAACUCCUACGGGAGGCAGCAGUGGGGAAUAUUACACAAUGGGCGCAAGCCUGAAUGUAGCAACGCCGCGUGAGCGAAGAAGGUCUUCGGAUCGUAAAGCUCUGUCCUUGGGGACGAAGGAAGUGACGGUACCCAAGGAGGAAGCCCCGGCUAACUACGUGCCAGCAGCGGC